AAGAUACUUAUGUUAUUAAAGAAUUUCAAUUAAAUGAUAAAUUAAAGUUAUAAAACUUUCUCACAUGUUGAUCGUGAACACGUUUUAGAAGGUAUGAUGCCGGUGAAUAAAGAAGCUCGAUAUAAUAUUGUAUUUAUACCAUAGGGUAUGCAGUGGUACCAUACAUACUUAUGGUCAAACCAAGUCGGUGAAAUGGAGCUAAGAGCUUGGCCGCGUGAAGAAGGAAACAGUGAGAGAAAUGAAAAGCAUGUAGUUUUGUGACAAAUGGGAAAGCAAGCAGCUAAGCGAUUCUCUCCAAUUAAUUGAGAAGUGUGAAGCCCCACCUACCCACUCAUUCAAUUUCACUAUUCAUAUCUAAAUACAACCAUAGUUAUUCCUCCUUCACUUGCUCUCUGUGUCUCUCUCUCUUUUGCUUCUUCUUUGUACCGACCUCUCUUUGCUGGAUCACCCAAACCGUACACAGAAUUCAGAGUAGAAAAAAAGCUGAGAUGAAGGACAACUUUGCAACCACAGCUGCUCCAUCGCUGUCUCUACCAUUAACGACAACCUCGGCGGUUGUGAGGAAAGAGAGUUCAGAAAGUGGCGUGUUGGGCAAGAGUGGCUACAAAUUCUGGGUUUUAGCAGCGAUUCUGCUACUUGCUUUCUGGUCCAUGCUCACCGGCUCCGUCACCCUCAAAUGGUCCGCCGGAAACCUCGCCAGAUUUUCUGAUGACUUUGGGUCAUUGAAUUUGGACGAUCUCGAUAUUCUGGAAGUGGAGGAGCGAGAGAAGGUGGUUCAGCACAUGUGGGAUUUGUACACGCACAGCAGCAAUGCUCGGUUGCCUCGUUUUUGGCAGGAGGCUUUUGAAGCUGCUUACGAGCAUUUAGCCAGUGAUGUUGCUCCCAUUCGAGACGCCGCCGUUUCGGAGAUUGCCAAGAUGUCAAUCCGCUCCAUCAAUAUGGAUCCACCUCCAGUUCAGUCAACGAGGGUGAGAUGUAUAGUUUCAGAUUGAAAAGGGGUUAGUCUGGCUUUACUGUCAGAUUAUUCCUCUGCUCGAAUUUAUAAAAUUUGUGUAGAGAGCAGUAGAGGAUCACGAAAGGACUUGCUACAAGCAGAGAAAAAAAGCCAGGUGAAUGCUACCGAAGUUGGGAAUAGUUGAGAACUGGAAUUUUGUAGCCUUUGAUUUCUGUGGUUGCAAGACCUUGCUUAAAUAUAGACGGAGAAAAUGGGGAUGACCUGGAGUAAUACACAAUUUUAGUGUAUCGAUAGUUACACAGCUUGCUAUGCAUAUUACUUAAGUUUAUCCAUUUAUCUAAAUCAUACAAUCAUACUCAUGCACCACUUCCCUUGAAAAACUAAGGGUAAAUCCAAGUGUUUAUAUAUAUAUAUAUAUAUAUAUACAUAUAUCCUUUUUUAAGUAAACCCAAUAACUUGUGGGUUUUAAUUUACUGUUAUUACAAAUCGGAUAAGAAAGUUGUAUGAAAAGUACUCGUUGAUGAAGAACUUUCUUUGUUUUUA